rnacentral:rRNA from 1 species
UACGAAGGGGGCUAGCGUUGCUCGGAAUCACUGGGCGUAAAGGGUGCGUAGGCGGGUCUUUUAAGUCAGGGGUGAAAUCCUGGAGCUCAACUCCAGAACUGCCUUUGAUACUGAAGAUCUUGAGUUCGGGAGAGGUGAGUGGAACUGCGAGUGUAGAGGUGAAAUUCGUAGAUAUUCGGAGGAACACCAGAAGCGAAGGCGGCCAACUGGCCCCGAUACUGACGCUGAGGCG